rnacentral:tRNA from 4 species
GCCUAUGUAGCUCAGUGGUAGAGCACUUCCUUGGUAAGGAAGAGGUCGCGGGUUCAACUCCCGCCAUCGGCUCAA